rnacentral:lncRNA from 1 species
CUGCAAAAUUAUGCGAGUGAGGGGAUGUCAAACAAUGGGUCAGGAAAUGCAUUGUUUUUCUGCAAAACAAAAGCUGAUUGCCAUUGCAUAAGUCACUUUAGUAUCAUGAGACUGCUCCUUGAUAAAUUCAGAAAUAAACCAAAAUACAGGACACGCAAAAAUAAAACAAUUUAAUGAUGCUCUCUCCACACUGGCAUAAAUAAAAACAAACACAUAACAUCUAAUGUGAACAUAUCAGACGCCUUGUGAAACACUAAAGGAAAAAUUCAGUUUCGAGCUAUGGCACUUGCCGCAUAGAUGUGGGGGACCUUGUACUAAUAGUGAUAGUUACCACUGCAUUUAGAAAUUGAAAGCAUACAUGCAGAAAAGGAUGAUUCGUUAUAUUUUUGGCUACCAUUUCAAAUGCCUCCACCACGUGUUACAAUGCUGCACGCAGCCAUACUAAGGAUCUCGCAGCAACACCUGCAGGUAAAAAGCAGAAGCAGUUAAAGUGCUGGUGUGUACUGGACACUAUGUUUGAAAACUUUUAGGCAAGAAGAGUGCAAGAAGCAGACAUAACAACUGCAUUUAUUUCCAUAAUUCCCCAUUUGAAUGGCCUUUUCUUUUUGCUUAGACAAUGCCUGCACCUAGCCACAGCCGCUCCCUCAUACAGACUUCGCAAGCCAAGAGGCCGUGGAGGCAAAUGCAGGCAGCCAGCACACCUCGAACAGCCACCUUGACUGCGGGUGUGUCACCCUAGUCGCCAAGGAAACAUUUGAGGGAAAGCGACAGGCAAUGUGAACAGCCACUUCUCCAUGUAAAUGAUAGUGUUUCUCUCGGAUGACUGCUACGCCUCGCCUCGCCAGCACACUUGUGCACAAAGAUGCCGCGGAGGCACGUGCAGGUCAGAGGCAAGAAGCAGUGGUACUGGUGUCGACAUUCACCGAAUUUCUUUUUCUUACACUGAGGCAGCCAGCAGACCUCGAACAGCCACCUUGACUGCGGGUGUGUCAGUAGAUUCCUGUUGUACAUAUGCUCAUAAUAAACUUCAGUAAACUUGAACUUGAUAAUAAACUUGAAGGCAAAUGGGA